GACGAACGCUGGCGGCGUGCUUAACACAUGCAAGUCGAACGAAGAGCGAUGGAAGCUUGCUUCUAUCAAUCUUAGUGGCGAACGGGUGAGUAACGCGUAAUCAACCUGCCCUUCAGAGGGGGACAACAGUUGGAAACGACUGCUAAUACCGCAUACGAUCUAAUCUCGGCAUCGAGGAUAGAUGAAAGGUGGCCUCUACAUGUAAGCUAUCACUGAAGGAGGGGAUUGCGUCUGAUUAGCUAGUUGGAGGGGUAACGGCCCACCAAGGCGAUGAUCAGUAACCGGUCUGAGAGGAUGAACGGCCACAUUGGGACUGAGACACGGCCCAGACUCCUACGGGGGGCAGCAGUGGGGAAUCUUCCGCAAUGGACGAAAGUCUGACGGAGCAACGCCGCGUGAGUGAUGACGGCCUUCGGGUUGUAAAGCUCUGUUAAUCGGGACGAAAGGCCUUCUUGCGAAUAGUGAGAAGGAUUGACGGUACCGGAAUAGAAAGCCACGGCUAACUACGUG
rnacentral:rRNA from 1 species